rfam:Marvinbryantia formatexigens DSM 14469 B_formatexigens-1.0.1_Cont36.1, whole genome shotgun sequence.
UGAUGCCAGGGUCAAAAGGUCUGAGCCCACAUGAGCUUGCUCUAUAGUGGGCGUAAGACCUUGGGACCCGCCCCGAUAUGAGCAUAAAAGUGGGAUGUAUAUCCCACGAUAUGCGAAUAGCGGGUAGGGCGCUGGAUGUCCGGUGGACAUCC